rnacentral:rRNA from 1 species
GAUGAACGCUGGCGGCGUGCCUAAUACAUGCAAGUAGAACGCUGAAGGAGGAGCUUGCUCUUCUGGAUGAGUUGCGAACGGGUGAGUAACGCGUAGGUAACCUGCCUGGUAGCGGGGGAUAACUAUUGGAAACGAUAGCUAAUACCGCAUAAGAGUAGAUGUUGCAUGACAUUUACUUAAAAGGUGCAAUUGCAUCACUACCAGAUGGACCUGCGUUGUAUUAGCUAGUUGGUGGGGUAACGGCUUACCAAGGCGACGAUACAUAGCCGACCUGAGAGGGUGAUUGGCCCCACUGGGACUGGGACACCGCCCAGACUCCUACGGGGGGCCGCAGUAGGGGAUCUUCGGCAAUGGGCGGAAGUCUGACCGCGCAACGCCGCGUGAGUGAAGAAGGUUUUCGGAUCGUAAAGCUCUGUUGUAAGAGAAGAACGAGUGUGAGAGUGGAAAGUUCACGCUGUGACGGUAUCUUACCAGAAAGGGACGGCUAACUACGUG